rnacentral:rRNA from 1 species
GACCUCUUGGGAGUCAGGUUGCUUGGGAGUGCAACCCCAAUUGGGUGGUAAACUCCACCUAAGACUAAAUACGGCCGUGAGACCGAUAGCAAACAAGUACCGUGAGGGAAAGGUGCAAAGAACUUUGAAGAGAGAGUUCAAGAGUACGUGAAACUGCUCAGAGGCAAACGGGUGGGCCCUCGAAAUCCUCCGGCAGGGGGAUUCAGUUAGGAAAAGCUGAGGUGAUGUGUGGCCAUAACGGACCCUCUCUGGGGACGGGCUGCCAUCACGGUCUCGGUUUGACUUGACGCAUUUCCCCCUGCACAAGGACGCCGCAUCCGGUUGGGUAGCUGCGUGAGUCGGCCAUAAGAACAAGCAACGGAAGGUGGCCGGUGUCAGUGCCUUCUGACGCCGGUUGUUAGACAGUUUGUUCGUGGCGCGACACCCGACUGAGGUUAAGUUGUUCCCUUAUGGGAACUAGCCGUCCCCUUCGGAGCGGAUGCUAGCAAGUGUUUCACGGUGUCGCUUCUUCACUCUUGUAGUGUGUGGUGCUCCGUGUUCCCUGGUGGGGUUAGGCGGCUAGCGGCGAGUGAGUCGGUCUCCCACCCGACCCGUCUUGAAACACGGACCAAGGAGUCUAACAUGUGCGCGAGUCACGGGGUCUUGAACAGGCCCAGAGGCGCAAUGAAAGUGAAAGUCGAUCUCGUGUCGACUGUGUUGGGAUCUCCCGUCCUUUGCGGCGGGAAAGCACCAACGAUCCGUCCUAUCCGAUUUAUCGGUUGGCGGAAUCGGAGCGUACACGUUGGGACCCGAAAGAUGGUGAACUAUGCUUGGGCAGGACGAAGCCAGAGGAAAC